GGUCGUUGGCGGUGAGGCACUUCUUGAUCGCCUCCCAGCUGCUCACCACCACGGCGCGGUGGCUGCCGAGGCGGAGGGAGAAGACGGGGCCGUGGCGGUCGGCCAUGGCCCCCAGGGUCCGGGCCACCGGGCUCGGGCCGUCGAGGAGGUGGAGGUGCCCUAUCAACGGCCAUGCACCCGGCGGCUCCGGUGGAGUUGUUACCUUCUUGGUUGAAUUAAAAUAAGAGUAUAUGAUUAAUAUGGUUGCUAGAAAUAAUAAUGAUAAUGCAAUUUGUGUGGUGAGAGAGAGGAAAUCCAUUGUUGGAGUGAAGUUGAACAAGAUUUUGAUGGUGGAAUGUUGGCCAUAAUUGCUUACUAUUUAUAGAGUACAUUUUUAUUAUAAUUUUUAAUUAAUUCUUCUUCCAUGUUUUUUUUUAAAAAAAAAUUGGAAUUGCUAAAAGAUGAUGUCGAGCAUAAUCGCAAUAUUUUUUUUGAGUUAGAAUUACAAGAGAUAUCUAAAUAUAAUUAAAUAUACAACCCGCACGCAGAAAAGAAUUACACCACCACCAAAAGCUCUCAUAUAGGAGAGUAUUUUGGUGCCUUAACUUUGCCAUUAGAGCAAAGUCUCAUUGACAAUUUUUUCUUCCAUGUUAAUUUGUUAUGUUUUGAUAUAAUAAAAAUAUAUCAAAGAUUCACUCAUCCAAUUAGGGUUUAUAAUUACUUUUUUAUAUUUAUUUAAAUUAAUAAUAAAUUAUUUUGAUGAAUUAAUUUAAUGUUAGAAUAUAUAAAUUUCUUUAAUUUUAAUUUUUAGUGAUAAAUAUUAGUUAGAGCUCAUUAUUUAAUAAUAAUUUUUGUUUUUAUAAUAAAUAAUUAUAAAAUAGAGAAGUUAAUAAAAUUAAAAUACGAUGGUACACAAUAAAUUGCGGAACAAAGACUCUCAUCAGAAAAAUGUAAGAAUCUUGGACUAAAAUUUGUUGGGCACGUUGAAUUUUCUUCCUUUCCUUUUUUUCUACAGUAUUAAAUCUCGUGUUCCAUGACAGAUAGGAACAUUUAUGGUUGUUAGAGUACUAUAUUUGUCGUCUAUAUGCUAUAUAUGCAUCAAGUUCCAAACAUAAGAGCAUUCGCAGUGGGCUUACUUGAUAGCCUACUUGAUAGUGGUUGUGUUAUUGAGUAAGUAGUGCUGCAUUGGGGUUACUUGAUAGCCUACUUAAUUUUUUAGUUUUAAAGAGGAGAGAAAUUUUUAAAGAGGAGAAGAGAUUAAAAAAAAAAAGGAAAUUACUCGUGCAUACUCGAAGACUCGAGUAGCACUCACCUGCAACGCCCUACUCUUCUUUAAAAAUUUCUCUCUCCUCUUUAAAAACUAAAAAAAUCAAGUAGGCUAUCAAGUUGUUGGAAUAUAAGAAUAUAAAUGGAGAAUUUGUUUAAUUGGUAGGAUGAAAUUUGGAGAAAUUGGUUGUGGACGUGUGUGUGCUUAGGAAUUUGAGUGGGAGGAUUGUUGUUUACUAACACAAUUUUUCUUCAAUUCACUUCCUUUCUAACUUACUUACAAUCCCAAAACAUGGUUACAUAUUUAUAGUGGUACAUAGUAGUAGCUAGAUGAUUCUAGAGUUCUCUCACCUAUUAUUUUCCUAACACUUCUCUAGAAUUUUCUAGUUUUAGCUAUUUCUUCUUAAUUCUAACUUAUUCUCAAUUAUUCUAGAUCUUUCUCUUUUCUCUAUCUCAUUCUCAACUAAUCUAGAAUACUCUUUACAAAAUAUCUAUUCAAAUCAAGUUUAUAUUCCAACACUCCCCCUUAAACUUGAUUUGUCUUUCUGAGCAAAACUCCGAACUUGACGAAAUCCUUUCUCGACGAGCCUUCCUUUAUAUUUUUCAACUUCACCUUUGAGAUUCUUCUUAACCUUAUGCACCCACUUGACUCCAAUGGCCUUGUGCCUUUCCGGUAGUGUCACGAGCUCACACGUAUCAUUCUUGUUUAUAGCUUUGAUCUCUUCGUCCAUUGCAACUCGCCAAUUUUCACUAUUUGCUGCUUUAGGUUCAUAAUCAGCAGAUAGGCAAAACAAGGUGAGAUCUUCUAACCUUUCAGUGUCUUCAUAUAUCUCAUCCAAAUUCCUUGCUCGUGGUGUGGCUCUUUCAUUUAAGAAAGAUGGUGCGAGUCUUCAGUAACUUGUAUAGGUGAAGCUGGUGGAGUCACUGGCUCUUGUUGGACUUCUUCGACUUGCUCUUAUGCUUUUGUUCUUCUAAUUGUGGGAUGUAGGUGAAGUCACCGCUGGGGUUGAAAUCCCACACUCCUUCUUCGUCGAACUCCACAUCUCGACUUAUCACUAUUUUCUUGGUAUUUGGAUUAUAUAACUUAUAACCUUUAGAGUUAGAGUCGUACCCGAUAAAGAUGAAUGCUUCGCUUUUAUCGUCGAGCUUCUUCCUUCUCUCAUCUGGUACAUGCACGUAGGCUUUGCUCCCAAAUACCUUUAGGUGGGAAAUUCCUGGCUUUCUCCCGCUCCAGGCUUCUUGUGGAGUCAUUCCCCACACGCUCCUUGUCGGCGAUCGGUUGGAUAGGUACACCGCGCACGCCACUGCUUCGGCCCAAAACUCUUUAGGCAGAUUCUUCGUCUUUAGCAUGCUCCUCGCCAUCUCCAUGAUUGUUCUGUUUUUUCUUUCCGCCACUCCGUUCUGUUGGGGGGAUCUCGGAACUGUCAGGGGCCGCCGAAUUCCAUUUGCUUCGCAAAAUUCUAGAAACUCCCUUGACGUGAAUUCUCCGCCUCGAUCGGACCUCAGGGCCUUGAUUUGUCGUCCGCUCUCCUUCUCGACGGCAGCUUUGAAUUUCUUGAAUGCAUCAAAUACUUCUAACUUCUGCUUCAAGAAAUAUACCCACGUUUUUCUAGAAAAAUCAUCAAUGAAUAGCAGAAAAUAAUUAUUUUUACCCAGGGAGCUUGGAUUUAUCGGCCCACACACGUCAGCAUGAAUCAACUCCAGUGGCUUUUGAGCUCUUGAGCUUGACUCCUUUGGGAAUGGCUUUCUGAACUGCUUCCCGAGUAGACAACCUUCGCAGAGUUGAUCGGGAUGUUUGAUGGAUGGUAGUCCUCUCACCAUCUCUUUCUUUGAUAGCAACUCCAAGCCACCAAAAUUUAAGUGCCCAAACCGAAGAUGCCACAACCAAGACUUAUCUUGGUAACACGCUUUCAGGCAUUUUGCCAUGUCAUUUCGAAUAUUCAAUAAGAACAUUCUAUUUUUAGACAUUGGCACCUUGGCAAUAAGAUUAUUUUUGCCAUCUCUUAUUGAAAGGUUAUAAUCUCUCAUGUGAAUAUCAUAACCUUUCUCUAAGAGUUGUCCCAAACUCAAGAUAUUAUUUUUCAUAUUGGGCACGUAGUAAACGUUGGAAAUAAAUUCAUGAUUUCCAUUCUUCAAGCGAAUUAAAAUUUUCCCUUUUCCUUUAACUGGAAUUUUAGAUUCAUCACCAAAGGAGACGUUGCCGCUUACCGACUCAUCGAGCUCCGCGAACAUGCUUCUCUUCCCGCACAUGUGGUUGCUUGCACCGGUGUCGAGGUACCACGUGUCAUCUCUUCCAGCUUCUCCUUUAUAUGCCAGAAGCACACUACCAUUUUCUUGGUUUGUAUUUUCAGCAAAAUUGGCCUUCUCUUCAAUCCUUAAUUUUUCACUUCUGCACUCGGAAGCAUAGUGCCCAAAUUUAUGGCAAUUAUAACACUUUAUUGAAGACUUAUCGUACCUCGACUGCGGGUUGCUCCUCCCCCGACCACUUGUAAACUCAUUUCUUUCACCACUGUUGACGAAGCCUUCUCGUCCUCGACCACGUCCACGUGCUCGGCCUCUGCCUCGAUCUUGCCCUUGGCCAUGUCCUCUCCCGGACUGUCCAUAGCCAUUGCUCGGACCUUCUUCUUUCUCUUUCGGGCUUACGUGCAACUUUAAAAGUUGCUCUGAAAUUUCUUGCUUCUUCUUUUGCUUCUCCUCAUAUGCUUGCAGCGACCCCAACAAGAGAUCGAUCGUCAUCUCCUCCAAAUUUUUAGUUUCUUCAAUUGUGAUUACUAUAUGCUCAAAUCUUGGAGUUAGUGAGCGUAAUAUUUUUCUCCAUAAUUCUAACAUCCUCCAAUUUUUCACCAUUUCUUUUCAUUUUGAUUAGACACCGCCAAGACUCUUGAAAAAUAAUCCGAAAUUGACUCGGACUCUUUCAUAUGCAAAGACUCAAACUCUCCUCUUAAAGUUUGAAGUCGUNUUUAUAAUACCUUUAUUCUUACUCAAAUAUGGUCCAUACAAUGGUUAAAUUAAAUACCCUUGUUACACGGUUUUCGAAACAUUGACCUCUUCUUAUUUUUUGUUUUAGGGAUUAUGGCAAAAAAAUACGCGAACGUUGAAAAAGGUUGUAAUUUUAUCUGAACUUUUAAUUAAACAAAAAAACAACAUAUUUAAUUUUUUGUUGCAAUUUUCACCUAAGUUUGACUUUCAAUGAAAUUAGAACUAUCAAUAGUAUCGGGGCGAGUGAGGGUAUACCCGAUACCCGCAACCCAAAUUUACACGGACUUCGAAAAAAGUUGCAAUUUUCACUAGAAUUUUCAAUUUCAGCAAAAAAAUACAUGAAUUUAGAUUUUUGUUGCAAUUUUCACCUAAGUUUGAUUUUCAUUAAUGAAAUUAGAGCUUAAUUGACAGUCGGAAAUUCAGUUGAUGUUGGUCUAACUUUUCAUGAUGAGGAGUAUUUAGAAACUCGGAGGUCUAAGAAGGCAAAAAUUAAUAUAUUUGACUUAAUCGAUUGUGACAGCCCGAAACUAAAUCAUUUAUCCAAAAUUAUUUAUAUUAAAAUACUUAGAUUUCAAUUACUUUUGAAGCAUUUAAAUUAUGAAGUCAUUGAAAUUUUUAUUUUAUGUCAAGUUCACGUAUUGUCUGGUCGCGCCCCUAGUUAAAUGAAAAAAUUUUAAGAUUUUGGCUUUAGAAAUGAAAAUUAUAUUCUCUCAUAUUUUUAAUGCAAAUUUGGGCCUUAGAUAAAAUAUUUAUCUAAUUUUUACAUGUUGGGUCUGAUUAAAUUUUAGAGCGAUGUAGCGUGAUUCUUCAGGCUUAUAUAUAUAUGUAAGCCCCGGGCCAGAGCAGGAGGCGGCUGGCGUAGCGGCGGCAUUCGUGUCGGCUGCUCGCCGGAGGGUGGCAGACGGUGUAGGCGAGAGGCAGAUUCAGAGGGAGAGAUGAAGCGUAAGUUUGAGGAAGAGAAAAUAUGAAACAGAGGGAUUUAGCGUGAGUUAAGAAGGAGAAGUUGGGCUCCCAUUCGUGGGCUUAAGCUUAUUCAUUAGUCAUUUGACUUUUGAUUCUUUUAAAUUUAAAGUUGAAAUGGAGUUAUAAUAUGAGUUGAUAUUAUUAAUUUGAAAUUGAGCCGUUUAUUUUUCUAUAUAACAAAAUACCUUUAAUCAUUUAAUAAUUUCAUAAUAAUUAAUUUUAUUGAUUUUAUAAAAUAAAUUCCUUUGUUUUAAUUAAAUAUUUUAAAGCUUGAUUAGCCCUUAUAAGUUAUUUAAUUUUAUCUGACUAGGUGCGGCGCGACUAGGAUAUGAAUUUUAAUUGAAUUACUCAAGUUGAAGUUGAAGUUGAAGUUCAAGUUAAAUUUUUAGGUGUGGGAUUUAUUUAAAUACAUGUCGUGGUUAUUUAUUGUCCAUUUAAUAAUAUGUGUUUACCAUAUGUGUUAUGACGUAUAUUUUGAGGAUAUCGCUAGGGGCCCGUAAAUAGGGUCCAGGACUUCACCGUCCUUGGAUUACCACAAUGUGAUUUGAGAUUUAUUUUGAGGAUGGGCCCGUACAUAGGGUCCAGGACUUUAAUAGUCCUUGGGAUGCCGCAGUACGAAUAUUGAGGAUAUAUAUGAAAUGACCGUAUGUGUUACCAUGUUAUCAUCUUGGACACUUAUUGCAUGAUAUCCCACACUAAGUAUAUUUUGUAUGCUUAUCCCAUAUUUAACAUUUUCAGGUAGUUAAGGUUGGAGACAGGUAGAGGGUCGAAUGGGCGCGUCCAGUCACGUUUUGAAAAUAUGAUGUUGUAGAUACACCUAACCCUUUUGUUUAGUAUAGUUUUGAAGUUCAACAACUCUAUGUGACUUCUUAAGUUUAAUAUUAUUAUAUUUUUGUGUUAACUUAUCGUCUUUUAAAUUCAAGUUUUAUCUCAAAUAAUUUAUUCAAGUAUUCACUUCUUUUAUGUUUAAUAGAAAUUGUUUUCAAAUAAAUUAAAAUCUUUGUUUUAUGGUAUUUCCGCUGUCAAAAGCUAUGUAAAUUCGUACUUAACACUUUAUUUAGAUUAGGGUGUUACAUCGAUACCCGCAAAAUCAACGAUGAGGGUCGGGUGCGGGUAUUGUUUUUCUAAAAAUUGCGGGUAUUGGGUACCUCGGGGUACCCGCAUACCCGCAUGUAAUUUUUAAUUAAAUAAAUAAUUUUUAUAAUUAUUAAUUUUUAGGAAAUCAAAUACGAAAAUAACUCCAUUCCACUAGCCCUAAUCACGACUCACACUACAGAGAGCAGAGUUUAGAGACACAGUCGGGGGAAUUUGGGAGGGUAAAGAGGGUACCCGCAAAUUGCGUGACAAAAAUACCCUCCAGCGGAACAAAAUACACGCAAAAUUAAAAUUCACCAAAAAAUUACGGGACUGUGCGGGUACCCUCAUACCCUCAGUGGAUACCCGCUGUGGGUAUGAGGGUACCCACACAGUGCCUGCGGGACGGGUGGGGAUAGGGUAUUUUGUCAUUUUGUUCCACGGGUACUCGCAAUUUACGGAUAGGGUACUCGCAUGUACCCGAAUUUACACCCCUAGGACUUUCAUGUAAUUAACUACAUCUCUGACAUCUGUUAUUUUUUUUUCGCCAAUGCAGUUUAAUUUCUUCUUUUCCAACUUUGUUAAUUACUUAGACAUUUCACGUGCUGGGGAUGUAUGUCAAUCCGGUCAGUCCCUAUCAGAUUAUCAAGUUAUUCAGAUGUUGCGGGUUAAUCGAGUUGAAAAUUUUUUGAAUUAAAUUUUUUAAUUCCUAUACUAACGUUCGAAUUUGGAGUUAGUCGGGCUCGAAAAUUUAUUUAAAAAAAAAAACAACUAAUUAAUAUAUUUCUUUUGACAAUAUUAUAUUUGUAAUAAACAAAUACACGCAUAAAUAAGUAAUAUUUCAACAUCGACUUACAUAAUAAUUAAUAUGCAAUUAUUAUAUUUAUUAUUAAAUUUUAAAUUAAUAGGAAUUUUAAUAUUCUAUGUACACUUAUUUGCAUAGUGCAAUUUUUGGAAUUUUCAUUUGGCAGAGAGAGAGAUUGGGCAAAUUAAAUCAUAAUUAAAUAACCCAACUCAGCCUUCAGAGCUGGAUUAGUCCAGUUAAAGGGAAAAGUAAAAUUACAGCAUAAACAUAGAUUUGUCACCGCAAUCUUUAAAAAUUUAUUUAUUGAAAAAGAAAAGACAUAAACAAGUUUGAGACUAACAAUACACUUCGUGAUGCGUCACUUUUUAUUAUGACAUAAAUAAAUUUAAUUAGAUACUUAGGUAUAGUUUUUAGGAAGCCUAGGAGUGAGAACAACAUCAAGAGGCUUCAAUUUUGGGAGAGCAAGUCCCAACCCUUCUCCCAUGUCAACUGUCUCCCCACUUGGCAUCGACAAGUCGAAGCUUUGGAGCAAACGGGCUAGGGUUAGAUGUAUAACUUGCAGACCGAACAUCAUUCCGGGGCACAUUCUUCGUCGAGCUAAACGGGAUGAACUCGAAAUAUUGUCCUUUAAAAUUAAUUUGACUUUUCUCGUUCAAAAAUCUCUCGGGCCUAAACUCGUCUGGAUCCAACCAAAUAUUAGGGUCGCGGUGCAAUUUCCAUAGGUUGACGACCAAACGAGUCCCUUUUGGGACAUGGUAUUCGCCGAUGUGGCAAUCCUCAAGGGCCUCGCGGGGCCCCGACAGGGGGCCCGGCGGGUACAACCUUAGGGUUUCUUUGAAGAUUGCUUGUAGAUAGGCGAGGCUGUUGAUGUCGGAUUCUUGAACGAAUCUGUCUCUUCCUACGUUGUUAUCGAUUUCAUCUUGGGCCAGUUUCAGGGUAUGGGGAUUCUUUAGCAGCAACGAGAUCGCCCAUAUUAUUGUCACGGCCAUGCUCUCGGAUCCCGUCAUGAUGAGCAUCUACAUAUAUAAUAUAAAAAAUCGAGUAAUUAAAAUAUAUAUAGCAAAAUGUAUCUCAAACUAUCACCCUUUCUUCAAUUACAUCCAGAACUAUCGAUUUCACAAAUUAUUUUCGGGACUAUCAAAUAUAGUAAGAUAGUUGGAAAUAUAGUAGUGUUGGUAAAAAUUCAUAUUUACACAUGUAUUUCCACGUCAAAUUCUUCAUCAUAUAUAUAUAUAUAUAUAUAUAUAUAUAUAUAUAUAUAUAAUAUAUAGCAGAGAGACUCAAGUAAAGAACCAUAAUAAAAAAAAACGAUGAGAACAUUCAGCCUUACGAUCAUCAAGAUCUACGAUGAUGCAUCACCUUGUUGGAUAAACGCAAUCAUCUCAUUCUUCUCUAUUGUUGACAACAUCACAUCCAUGAAAUCUGAAUCAGUUUGAUCAUCUUUUUGCUUUCUUGUCUGAAUUCUUUCUUGAACCCAAUCCUCAAGAACAUUGUCUACUUGCUUGAAAGUUUGUUUCAUGCUUUUGAUGUAUCCUCCAAUAUCCAACCAUUCAAGGGAUGGGAUUGCAUCAGAAAAAACGAACACUCCACCCAGGUACAACACUUUCUUUAUGGCUUCUUGGAACCUCCAAUUUUUGUCAUCAUCGCCUCUGCAGGAACAAGGGGUAUUAGUGUAAAAUAUAGAAGUUGAAAAUCAAUUGAAAAUAAAAGUGCUAAUAUCGAUCACUUAUAACUCAAAAAUUAUUUUGACAACUUUGCGUUUUAAUUAAGUUUUGAGGGACACCAAGCGGUACGAACUCCUGUCUACGAACCAUGAGGUACAAGGAUCAAACCUCAUCGCUCCCCCUCCCCCAAAAUUAAUAUAUAUAUAUAUAUAUAUCCCCUAUAUAGGGGAGGGCUAGAAUAAAAACACUCUUAAGUGUAUAAAAUAUAAAUGAUUUUCAGCCCUUAGAUCAUCAAGAUCAACGGUUGAUUCGUAACCCUGUUGGAUGAAUUCGUGGUCCUGAGUUCGAAUCCCAAAGGUAACAAAAAUUUAUUUUUCGCAAUUCGUAACUCUGUUGGAUAAAUUCAUACGUGCUCUACAUAAAAUUCGUAAAUUAAGAAACAUUUAUAUUUUAUACACUUAAAAGUGUUUUUAUUCUAGCCCACCCAUAUAUAUAUACAUAUAUACAUAUAUAGGGCAGGGUUAAAAUAAAAGCAUUUUUUAAGAUAUAAAAUAAGAAUCAUUUUCAGCCCUUAGAUUAUUAAGAUCUACGGUUGAUUCGUAAUCCUGUUAGAUUGAUUUAUGGUCCUGAGUUCGAAAUCCUAAAAGGUAGAAAAAAUUUAUUUUUCACAAUUCAUACCUUUAUACAGCGAAUUCAUACGUGUUCUACAUAAAAUUCAUAUAUUAAAAAAUUGCUCUUAUUUCUUAUUUUAAGAUGUGCUCUCACGGUAGCCCACCCCUAUAUAUAUAUAUAUUAACGUAUGACUUAUAUAAUAACUAAUACUCCUUCUGUCCUAUUAAAAAUGACUUGUAUUUUGUUUGUGUUGUCCUUCUAUAAGUGAUUUGUAANAAGAAUCAUUUUCAGCCCUAAGAUCAACAAGAUCUACGGUUGAUUCGUAAUCUUGUUGGAUGGAUUUAUGGUCCUGAGUUCGAAUCCCAAAAGUAAGCAAAAAUUAAUUUUUCUACAAUUCAUACUUUAUACAGCGAAUUCAUACGUGUUCUACACAAAAUUACAUACAUUAAAAAUUAGCUCUUAUUUCUUAUUUUAAGUAUGUGCUCUCACGGUAGCCCACCCCUAUAUAUAUAUAUAUAUAUCCUAAUCAGCUUUAAGGUAUGAGAAAAAAUAAUUUAUUUGAUAAUAUAUAUGCAUUAGUGAAUAUCGAUAGUUCAGAAUAUAAUUGAAAAAACGACAAGAACAUCAUGCUUACUAGAAUUGUGGCCUUGAUGACAGUUUCCCUUGUGUAAUUAGCUACCAUUUCAUUCUCCUCUAUAGUUGACAACAUCACAUCCAUGUAAUCUGAGACACUUUGAUCAUUUUUUUUGCUUUCUUGUCUGAAUUCUUUCUUGAACCCAAUCCUCAAGAACAUUGUCUACUUGCUUGAAUGUUUGUUUCAUGCUUUUGAUGUAUCCUCCAAUAUCCAACCAUUCAAGGGAUGGGAUUGCAUCAGAAAAAACGAACACUCCACUGAGGUACAACACUUUCUUUAUGGCUUCUUGGAACCUCCAAUUUUUGUCAUCGCCUCUGCAAGAAGAAGGGGUAUAUCAACAAGUUGAAAAUAAAAAAUAAAUCAAAAAUAAUUCAUGAUUUAUAGCCGAACUCCUUAUAUAUAGUGAAAAUUUAGGCUACAAAUCUCUUUUAAAAUAUAAACUAUGAACUCAUGAGUUCUAUAUGAAAUAUAUAUAUAUCAAUUUGAUGUGAAGAAUGUAUGAAUAAAAAAAGUGAAAUUUUUGUUGUUUAUGAGAUUUGAAUCUGGACCAUGAAUUCAUCCAAUAAAAUGAUAAAUUUAAUUAGCAUAGCUUUUUAUGAUCCAAGAGUUCAAAAUUAAAAGAAAAUUUAUUUUAAUUUAAUCCUAUAUACACGUGAAAACGUAUGUUCAAGUAAAACACAAAAUAUAACAUGCAUGAAAGUUCACAUAUAACUACUUACUUGGAAAACGAGAACCUUUUCCCAACUAGCAUCCGUAACAUGAUAUUGAACGUCAAGAGCUCAAUCCGACCACUCAAAGCCACCACCUUCUUCGAUUCGCCGCCGUUUCCUCCGCCGCUCAUCGAGUACAAAUCCUUGACGAAGCAUUCGACCUCCGCCACCCGCACGUGACUGAAAUCGUCAAGGCGGCGGGCCGUGAAGAGGUCGACGGUCACCAUCUUCCUGACGUCACGCCAGUAGGGCCCGUACGGCCCGAGCCCGAAGCUCGCGCCGCCGUAGCCCAAGUACUUCGCCACCGCCACGCUCGGCCGUGUUGCGAAGACGCGGUCGUUGGCGGUGAAGCAUUCCUUGAUCGCCUCCCAGCUGCUAACCACCAUGCCGCGGUGGCUGCCGAGGCGGAGGGAGAAGACGGGGCCGUGGCGGUCGGCCAUGGCCCCUAGGGUCCGGGCCACCGGGCUCGGGCCGUCGAGGAGGUGGAGGUGCCCUAUCAACGGCCAUGCACCGGGCGGCUCCGGUGGAGUUGUUACCUUCUUGGUUGAAUUAAAAUAAGAGUAUAUGAUUAAUAUGGUUGCUAGAAAUAAUAAUCAUAAUGCAAUUUGUGAGGCGAGAGAGAAGAAAUCCAUUGUCGGAGUGAAUUUGAACAAGAUUUUGAU
rnacentral:lncRNA from 1 species